GGGGGAUAUUGCACAAUGGGGGAAACCCUGAUGCAGCGACGCCGCGUGGAGGAAGAAGGUUUUCGGAUUGUAAACUCCUGUCGUUAGGGACGAUAAUGACGGUACCUAACAAGAAAGCACCGGCUAACUACGUGCCAGCAGCCGCGGUAAAACGUAGGGUGCAAGCGUUGUCCGGAAUUACUGGGUGUAAAGGGAGCGCAGGCGGGAAGACAAGUUGGAAGUGAAAACCAUGGGCUCAACUCAUAAACUGCUUUCAAAACUGUUUUUCUUGAGUAGUGCAGAGGUAGGCGGAAUUCCCGGUGUAGCGGUGGAAUGCGUAGAUAUCGGGAGGAACACCAGUGGCGAAGGCGGCCUACUGGGCACCAACUGACGCUGAGGCUCGAAAGUGUGGGUAGCAAACAGGAUUAGAUACCCUGGUAGUCCACACCGUAAACGAUGAUUACUAGGUGUUGGAGGAUUGACCCCUUCAGUGCCGCAGUUAACACAAUAAGUAAUCCACCUGGGGAGUACGACCGCAAGGUUGAAACUCAAAGGAAUUGACGGGGGCCCGCACAAGCAGUGGAGUAUGUGGUUUAAUUCGACGCAACGCGAAGAACCUUACCAAGUCUUGACAUCCUGCGACGGACAUAGAAAUAUGUUUUUCCUUCGGGACGCAGAGACAGGUGGUGCAUGGUUGUCGUCAGCUCGUGUCGUGAGAUGUUGGGUUAAGUCCCGCAACGAGCGCAACCCUUACUGUCAGUUACUACGCAAGAGGACUCUGGCAGGACUGCCGUUGACAAAACGGAGGAAGGUGGGGAUGACGUCAAAUCAUCAUGCCCUUUAUGACUUGGGCUACACACGUACUACAAUGGCGUUAAACAAAGAGAAGCAAGACCGCGAGGUGGAGCAAAACUCAGAAACAACGUCCCAGUUCGGACUGCAGGCUGCAACUCGCCUGCACGAAGUCGGAAUUGCUAGUAAUCGUGGAUCAGCAUGCCACGGUGAAUACGUUCCCG
rnacentral:rRNA from 1 species